UACGUAGGGUGCGAGCGUUGUCCGGAAUUAUUGGGCGUAAAGAGCUCGUAGGCGGUUUGUUGCGUCGGCUGUGAAAUCCCGAGGCUCAACCUCGGGUCUGCAGUCGAUACGAGCAAACUAGAGUGUUGCAGGGGAGACUGGAAUUCCUGGUGUAGCGGUGAAAUGCGCAGAUAUCAGGAGGAACGCCGGUGGCGAAAGCGGCGUGCUGGACCUCUUCUGACGCUGAGGCGCGAAAGCCAGGGGAGCGAACGGG
rnacentral:rRNA from 1 species